AGGUGUUGGAUGUGUGUGCAGGUGUGGGGGUGGAUCAGGGAGAAAAGUGUUGGAGGUGGGACCUAGGAGGCAAGAAGAAGGAGGAAGCGGGAAGGAGGAAAGAGGAAGGAAAGCCAGCUCAUUUUACAAACGUUUACAGAACAUUGUCCUGCAUGUUUCACAAAACCAGCAAUCCCUAGGACCAUAUCAGUGUGGCCGGAUGCAUGGCUCACUGCGCCUCCGGGCUCCCAGACCCGCCGCAUUAUUCCCCAUAUCUGACCAGGUCUGGGUCUCAGUUAACUCCAGGUACAGCUGACCUGCAGUGCCGGCCUUCAGGUGACAGAGAACAAGCCCAUCGAGGGGUGAAGAAGAUUAAGAGCCAGGACAUAAAGUUGGACUCGAAUAAGGAAGAGCGACCCACCAGAGACCAAAAGCGCUAAUUACACAUGCGAGCGACCCCGCAGAGGGAGGAACCCCAUUCGUUUCCUUGGAGACUCUCGCCUCCAGAUCCUGUUUAUCCACGUGAUGGCCAGCAACAAAGCCGAGUGUAAACUGUAGAAAGGGUCAUCAGGGAUGCCGGAAUCCCACAGGAGUUGGGACACAAAGGAUCCUCCACUCGCACAAGGAGCAAGAAGCGCCCCUCUUCUGAUUGUCUGACUUGCCUGCUGGAGCCAGCCAGUUGACAACAUCACCUGAACUCCAGGGCCUCACCCGCCAGGCGGCAAAAUUCAACCAGACUGACAGCAAAGCGAUGCUCACCGAGGCCUCUGGCUCCCACUGAGAGCCCCAGGUCCCAGUCCCUCCUCCAAACUUCCCCCUCCCCAAUUCUGGGAGCCCCCAAGGGUCUCUCUGCGCUCUGAUGCUGCUCGCCAUCCCAGGGGUCCUCUGCAGACCCUGCACCUCUGAGAUACGGCAUGAGAACACCCACCCCAGCCAGCACCCCACCCCAGGGAACCGAGGCCACCCGAGGAUUCAUUCUGAUGGGCGUCACGGUACUUCAAAGAGUGGGAGGGGGUCCUGGGGGCCCCCAAAGCACUACUCUGCCCCCACAGCUCAGGCCCCUAGGGAGCAUUGCCUUCAGCAUCAUCCCUUAGGGUUCAAAUGUGGCCCAUGGGGCUGAGCUGGAGAUGAGACCAGAUCCCACCUUCCCCUCCUGCCCUUCCCUGAGCCCCUCCCCUUUCCUUUUCCCAUAGAGAGCAACCUGCAGUUUUGGCCACACCGGGAUCUCCGAUGCCCCAUGGCUGGACCCUGGUUAAGCUGUGUCCACUUGCCCGGUUCAGGAAGCAAAGGGAGCCAUUGGUAGCUGUGUGGGGGCAGGGAGAGCAGAGGACCAAGUCAGGAGACCCCUGCCCAUCUCCCUGAACAUUAACUGCUGGGCAGCCCUGUGACCUUGGACUCAGAGAGGUGGGCCAAAUGUUGCUUGUCACACCUGCCCUGUACUGGGGCAGGUAAUACUUGGGCAAACUCUGCAGAAACCCUAAUGUGCUCUACGCUUGCCAGCUAUUGCCCUGAUUAAUAAUAACACUGAUAAUCACAUUAAUAGUAAUAGAUCAGAAUUCUCUGGGGGAAAUCUCAUUAGCGGAAUUUACUUCCUCUAUGGUAUAUCAAGAACACAGGUGAGUUGUAAAGACACAUCCAGGCAUCAGAAGGGGACAAACUCCCCCUCUCCUCUCCCCAGAACAGGAACUACAUACAGUAGGGACGGCUGGGGGUGGGGUGGCAAGUCCCCUCUGAGAUGCUGGUACAGCUGGGUGGUGCUUAAAUUGUCAGGGGAGGGGGACAAGUUAGCAGAAUCCAUCACGGUGUGAGUUUGCUAGGGCUACUCUAACAAGAUGAGACUGAGCACACAGAAAACAAAAUGCCCCACGGUAGCAGCUGAGACAGCAGAGUUGUAUCUCUUGCAGUUCUGGAGGCUUGAAGUCCAAGAUAAACAGGUCCACAGGGCUGGUUCCUUCUGAGGCCCCUCUCUUUCGCUGGCAGACGGCUGUCUUCUCGCUGUGUCCUCGGAUGGCCUGCCUUCUUUGUGUGUCUGUGUCCUAAUCUCUUCUUACAAGGACACCAGUCACACAGAUGUCUACUAAAAGGUGCACAACG